UACGUAGGCAGCGAGCGUUGUUCGGAGUUACUGGGCGUAAAGGGUGCGUAGGCGGUCCUAUAAGUAUGGUGUGAAAUCUCCCGGCUUAACUGGGAGGGUGCGCUAUAGACUGUGGGACUAGAGUGUGGGAGAGGAAAGUGGAAUUCCUGGUGUAGCGGUGAAAUGCGUAGAUAUCAGGAGGAACACCGGUGGUGUAAACGGCUUUCUGGACCAUAACUGACGCUGAGACGCGAAAGCGUGGGGAGCAAACAGG
rnacentral:rRNA from 1 species